rnacentral:rRNA from 2 species
GCAGUAAUUUGACUGUGCAAAGGUAGCAUAAUAAAUAGUUUUUUAAUUGAAAGCUGGAAUGAAUGGUUGGACGAGAAAAAUACUGUCUCUUUAAUACUUUUGUUAGAAUUUUACUUUAAAGUUAAAAGGCUUUAAUGAUUUUUAAAGACGAGAAGACCCUAUAGAGUUUUACAUUACUUUAAUUUAUGUUUAUGGAAAUUUAAAAAUUUAUUAUUUGUUUUGUUUAGUUGGGGUGACUGGAAGAUUUGUUAAACUCUUUUUUAUUUUUACAUUUAUUUAUGAAUUAUUGAUCCAUUGUUUUUUGAUUAAAAGAUUAAAUUACCUUAGGGAUAACAGCGUAAUCUUUUUAAAGAGUUCAAAUCGAAAAAUUGGAUUGCGACCUCGAUGUUGGAUUAAAGUUAAUUUUUGGUGGAGAAGCUAAAAUAUUAGGU